CAGUCGCCGCGGGAAUACGUAGGGUGCAAGCGUUGUCCGGAAUUAUUGGGCGUAAAGAGCUCGUAGGCGGUUUGUCGCGUCUGCUGUGAAAUCUGGGGGCUCAACUCCCAGCCUGCAGUGGGUACGGGCAGACUAGAGUGCGGUAGGGGAGAUUGGAAUUCCUGGUGUAGCGGUGGAAUGCGCAGAUAUCAGGAGGAACACCGAUGGCGAAGGCAGAUCUCUGGGCCGUAACUGACGCUGAGGAGCGAAAGCAUGGGGAGCGAACAGGAUUAGAUACCCCUGUAGUCCCUGUCUCUUAUAC
rnacentral:rRNA from 1 species